rnacentral:snoRNA from 1 species
CUAAAUGAUGAAUUGUUUCACAACAUUCUGUCCGGUGAACCCUGAUCCAAGGAUAAAACAUGCAUCACCAUCUGACU